AAUGGGAUGCCUGACGAAAAGGAUGAUCUUGAUAGGAUUAGCCAUGUGGACCCCCCCCCACUCCCAUUA
rnacentral:tRNA from 1 species